rnacentral:rRNA from 1 species
CCUACGGGAGGCAGCAGUGGGGGAUAUUGCACAAUGGGGGGAACCCUGAUGCAGCGACGCCGCGUGGGUGAAGGAGCGUUUCGGCGCGUAAAGCCCUAUCGGCAGGGACGAAGAUGACGGUACCUGACCAAGAAGCCCCGGCUAACUACGUGCCAGCAGCCGCGGUACUACGUAGGGGGCAAGAGUUAUCCGGAUGUACUGGGUGUAAAGGGGGCGCAGACGGCAAUGCAAGCCAGGAGUGAAAGCCCGGGGCCCAACCCCGGGACUGCUCUUGGAACUGCAUGGCUGGAGUACAGGAGGGGCAGGCGGAAUUCCUAGUGUAGCGGUGAAAUGCGUAGAUAUUAGGAGGAACACCGGUGGCGAAGGCGGCCUGCUGGACUGUGACUGACGUUGAGGCCCGAAGGCGUGGGGAGCAAACAGGAUUAGAUACCCGUGUAGUC